AAACGCAGAGGAGGCUACAGCACAGAUAAGCGAGGGCUGGGCGGCUCGGCUGCCAGUAAAGGCUGCACGCCGGUGCCAUAUGGGCGCUCGGGGCGUGGGCUGUUGGCCACCCCACAGGCCUCACUUGGACGCAUGGCCCUUCAUGGCGGCAGCUGUCAGGGCUGUCACCUCCGCUUCCCCCACAUAUGCUUACGACUUGACGCCACCCCGCCCCAGGGGUGCCCGAUGACUCGGAGCCUCCGGACCCCUCGCGCCAGCACCGAGGAAGCGACGACAAAAGGAUCACCCCGGCUCGGCAAAGCGGCGACUGCCAGCAAGUUUCAAAUACAUGUCAACCCUUUGCAGGGAACAACAACAAACUUUUGAAUGACUUCAGCAGCGUGGUCACAGCGCCUGACCUUAUUUUCUCGGGAGAAAAUAGGACACCGAGACCAGGAACUGACCGCCCCGCCGCCCUCCCACUGGGCGGGCGGCACACGGGGCUGCCGACGCCGGCUGCCUCUGCUUUCUUCGGCAGGAAACGCGCCCUCAGCAGCCACACGGCCCGGUUUUCUUUAGAAUGUGAACUUCCACACCGACAGAGAAGCCCGAGGCGCCGCUUCCUUUGUUAAAACCCCACGGACUUGCUUCACUUCGGGGCGGAAAGGCUGCUGGCGGCGAUCACGACCGCGCGCCGCGAAGAGGCGGGGAGACAGGUGCGCUCUCUCCCCCCGCGGGUGCCCGCGGCGGCUCGGGCAGCGGCCGACCCCUCCGGCGCCACCCGGGGCCCGGCCCAACCCAACUCCCCGGGCGUCCGCGGCCUCCCCGACUCGUCCUCCGCGCGCCCGGCCGCCCCGCGGGGCCCUGCCUCGCCGCCGCCUCCGCUCAAAAUGGAUAUGGCGGCGGCGGGCGGCUGGUUACGAAACGCGCGGCCGCCACAUGGCCGCGCCGGCCCCAAACUUGGCCGGGCCCGCCGAGUCCCGGCGCCCAGGCAAGGCCGGGCCGGGCGCUUGGAGGCCGCGCCGUCACUCACCCACAGACCGGUAGCCCAGGAUCGCGAUCUUCCGGGACUUGGACUGCGGCAUCUUGGCGGCCUCCUCAGCCCCAGGCCAACCACAUGAACCGCGGCGGCGGCGACUCCUGUGCUGCGAUCCGCGGCGGCCGCGCCGGGGCAGAGCGGCAUCCAGGGGCGGGGCGGGCGGGCGCGGCUGCCUCCGCUCCUCGCUCGCGCGCCCAACCGCCCGGAACCGCCGCGCGGCCCCGCCCCCAAACACGCCCACGUGACCGCCGCCGCCGCCGCCGCCGCCGCCCGCCCCGCCGUGACUGCGUCAGCGUCGCCCUCCCCGCCGGGGCGGCCGCUCCCGCCCCCGCCCCCGAAACGCACGGAGGUGGGGCGGACGACGUUUUACUUUAAAGGGGAAAGAGGGGACGCUCAGAAGCCUCGGGAAAAGUCACGACGGAAACUCGCUGCGUCAUGGCCCUCCCACCGUCUUCCGCCGAUGUUUAAUUACGCCAGUUGGCCCAGAGCACCGAUUGGACGACUCCCGCCCGCCCGCGCGACGACGCGGCGGAAACUCCGUCUCCCAUUGGGGGCGGCGGAGAGGCAGCCCCAGGGCGGGGCUGCUCGAACGAAGCUAAAAAUAAAACCGGGCAGCCGCCGCGCGCGUGUGCGCCUGCGGGGUUUGAAGGCUUUGAAUGUCGCCUGGCGUGGGGUUUCGGUGGGGGGUGGGGGUGGAGGGAGAAGCUGGCUUCUCAGUGAUUGGUUAAGAGCAGGGCGAGGGGCGGGGUUAGCUGUGGAAGGCACGGUCAUUGGUGAGCCGCUGAGAUCGGCGAACUGGCUCCCGCUGAGCCCUUAAAAGGUGUGAGACGCGAGGAGUGAGGUUGUUACCUGCUAGCCUCCGGGUUUCCUGCGUUUUCCUUUUUUAGUCUCUUAGCUAUGGUGGUGUUAGUAAGUCUGGAUUUGAGAAAGUAUUUGGUGAUUAAACCUAAUCCGCUGGUGAUGGGAACUAUAAAGUAAAAUAAAAGACACCCGCAGUGAAGGACUGUGGGAAGAAUAAAAUGUGUGAAUUCAAAA